rnacentral:rRNA from 1 species
UACGUAGGGUCCGAGCGUUGUCCGGAAUUAUUGGGCGUAAAGGGCUCGUAGGCGGUUCGUCACGUCGGGAGUGAAAACUCGGGGCUUAACCCCGAGCCUGCUUCCGAUACGGGCAGACUAGAGGUGAGCAGGGGAGAGCGGAACUCCUGGUGUAGCGGUGGAAUGCGCAGAUAUCAGGAAGAACACCGGUGGCGAAGGCGGCUCUCUGGGCCUUACCUGACGCUGAGGAGCGAAAGCGUGGGUAGCGAACAGG